rnacentral:rRNA from 1 species
GUGACAUACCACUUGUUGCCUCGGCGGAUCAGCCCGCUCCCGGUAAAACGGGACGGCCCGCCAGAGGACCCCUAAACUCUGUUUCUAUAUGUAACUUCUGAGUAAAACCAUAAAUAAAUCAAAACUUUCAACAACGGAUCUCUUGGUUCUGGCAUCGAUGAAGAACGCAGCAAAAUGCGAUAAGUAAUGUGAAUUGCAGAAUUCAGUGAAUCAUCGAAUCUUUGAACGCACAUUGCGCCCGCCAGUAUUCUGGCGGGCAUGCCUGUUCGAGCGUCAUUUCAACCCUCAAGCACAGCUUGGUGUUGGGACUCGCGUUAAUUCGCGUUCCUCAAAUUGAUUGGCGGUCACGUCGAGCUUCCAUAGCGUAGUAGUAAAACCCUCGUUACUGGUAAUCGUCGCGGCCACGCCGUUAAACCCCAACUUCUGAAUGUUGACCUCGGAUCAGGUAGGAAUACCCGCUGAACUUAAGCAUAUCAAUAAGCGGAGGAA